GUCCACUCCAAAUGCAACAGUCUUCAUCUACUAACUCCAGACUCCUAAUCCAUCCCACUCUCUUCCCCUCCCCCUGGCAAACACGAGUCUGUGAUACAUGUCCAUGAUCUUUUCUGUUUUGUGGAUAGAUCAUUUGUGCCAUAUUUUAGACUUCACAUAUAAGUGAUUAUCAUAUGAUAAUCUUAUCAUAUGAUAGCUUUCUCUUUCUGACUUACUUUCCUCAGUAUGAGAGUCUCUAGUUCCACCCAUGUUGCUGCAAAUGGCAUUAUUUUGUCCUUUUUUUAUGGCUGAAUAUUAUUCUGUUCUAUAUAUGUACCACAUCUUUCUAAUCCAUUCAUCUAUCGAUGGGCAUUUAGGUUAUUUCCAUGUCUUGGCUGUUGUGAAUAGUGCUGCAGUGAAUAGUGCAUGUCUUUUUUUCCUUUUUCAUUUAUUUUUUAGGGCCACACCUCCAGCGUAUGGAAGUUCUCAGGCUAGGGGUCAAAUCAGAGCUAUAGCUACUGGCCUACACCACAGCCACAGCACAUUGCUGUGAGCUGUGGUGUAGCUUGCAGAUGUGGCUUGGAUCCUGUGUUGCUGUGGCCAUGGCUGCAGCUCCGAUUUGAACCCUAGGCUGGGAACUUCCGUAUGUUGCAGGUGCAGCCAUAAAAAAACAAAAAACAAACAAAAAGGACUGCUCUUGGGAAGGCUCAUGUUUGCUUCAGAACUCUGUCUUUGGCCUUCUCUUGGUUCAUUGGUCAGUGAGUGGGGUGGGCUGCUCUUGGAGUGGUGUAUGGUGCUGCAGAGGAGAGCAGUGGCAGGGAGGUGAGUGUGUUGGGAGAGGGCUGGCAUAAGCACUGGUGCAAGCAGGUGUGGGAGACCACACAUACACACACAGACACACACACACACACACACACACGAACACUUGUCGAUACAGUAAUACAGCCAACCAGCCACAUAUGCUAGUACAAGCAGACGCUCAGAGUAGCACAGCCCAAUAGGCGCAUGUAUGCAUGUGCACACACAGAAAACUGAAAGGUGCUGCUGAUGGCAGAGCAGUCUGGGGAAGGCACUGCAAAGCUGGGAAGGAAGUACCAGUACCAAGUAAUGGUUGUAGCUGGUGGCCUUUAUCUUUGCAGGUAGAAUAAUACUGCAGAUAUCUUUCUGUAACGAGAAGGAUGAAGAAAGAACAGCAAGGGGAGCAUCCCUUUGUAGGACAGCUUCUUAUUGCUCUGGGAAUGAGGUAGGGGUGCACCUUUCUCCCAGGCUGGGAGGAGUAGGAGACUGUGAAGGGACAAAGGUGGAUAGGGCCACUUCCAACAUCCCUACCUACCCUCACCAGGACUGGUUUCCCAGGCCAAGAGUGUGGCUGGAGGCCAAGUUAAUCCUUACUAGAGUCACAGCCAGGGUUAACGUCUGGCUUCAAAUCAAUUGCCUCUCAGUUUGCUGCAGUGAGUGAGUUUGCUCCCACAAUUUGAAUAUAAAGCCUGCACUUUUUAAUACAUUCAUAGCAAAGGUAAAUUAAGUAAUUGCAGUAUUCUGUUGUCCCACAUGAUAUAUGCAAAUAUUUCUCACUCCAACAUGGUAAAUCUUCAGCAGAUGACUUUAUCACUCAGAGCUAGGAUAAUUCUGUGCCAUUUAAGUAUCAUUUAUCAGAAUGCUUAAAAUUACUAAUUAAUUAUAGAAGAUUAACUUUAAAAUGUGGCCCCGCAUUUGCAUUUAAUUAUAUCCCACUGUUUACGGAUUUUAGUACUUUAGUAAAAGUGCAAUGAGUCUGAGUCUGAGAAAUCCUUUUAUUUUCUCCCCUUAGAAAUUCUUAGAAAUGAGCUUAGGAGGAAGAGAUAGUCUGGAGAGUUAGUUUUGGUAGGUUUAGAGCUCAAGGAUGCUCAAGGCCCAGAAUUCAAGGUCUGGCAGAGAUGGGGAAAGAAACAGAGCUAUCCCGCCAGAGCCUGUGUCCCAGCCGCUGUCCCCUUCUUUCUCUGACUCCACACCCCUCUCAUCCUUCUGAACCUUAUGCAUACUGGGAAAGCCAUCAUGGGCCUGCAGGGGCCUGCAGCAUCUGAGCAUAACCUCCAUGGCCACCCUCAGAGAGGGUCCUCUCUCCCCAUGGGACCAAUGAGCACAUGAGGGCAGGAGCUGGGACAUGUUCAUCUUUGUUAGGGGCUCUACUGAGGCCUGUGGAUAAAGGUUUUUAAAAGGAUGGAUGCAGGUUGGGCUCCCAGGAGCCCUGACUCCUGCCCCAUGCAAAUAUCUUCUAGAUGCUCAAUUAUCCAAUGGGUAGACAAAAUGCAUUCUUAAUGCUCAGGCCAAGCCCGGGGCACCUGAGUAAGACCUUGUUUUGAAGGAGUUUAAUGUUUGAUUUAAAAGAUCUUUUUUUACUAUAAUUGGUUUACAGUGCUGUCCCAAUUUAUGUUACACAGCACAGUGACCCAGUUGUACAUAUAUAUACAUUCCCUUUCUUAAAUUCUCUUCCAUGAACAAUUGGACCAUCCAAGCCCUUAUCAAAGGAAAGGCUUGACUGCUGCUCGAUCUUCUGGAGUUUGUUUUUCUGGUUGAGUGCUGUUUCUAGUUCAAGUUAUGCUUUGAAUCAUGCCUCCCUGUUCCAGUGCCCAGGGAAGCCUUACCAGGCUAUCUGGGAGGCCCGUCUGCUCCUUCUUGGGGUCAAAGAGAGGGAUCUUGAACCUGAAGCAUGGUCUAGAGUCACACGGUGUUCUUCCCUUCCUUUGUGAGCCAUUAGCCAGCAAAGUGUCAGUUACUCCCUACGGGAGUCCCCGUGGCUUAUUAGCAGGUAGCCCCUGCUGGGGCAGGGGAGGCGGUAGGCAGGCACGAGAAACAGUCGUUUCAAAGGGAGACAGCCUGCAGCAGUGAAAUGACUCAAUUACUCUUUCUGCUCCUGGAUCCCCAAGGAAAUUCAGCUUGGGGAGGCCUCCCCUGAGGUGGUGAGUCAGCCCUUUGUAGAUUGAAGGGUUGGGUGGGGAGCCCAGCGGGAAAGCAGCAGCAUUUCCUCAGCCCUGUGGGAAGUCAGGGAAAGGCUGGGGUGUUGAGAGAGGCAGAGUUGAGGUGAGGUGGCCCCAUCUUGGCCUGGAUUCAUCUCAGAGAAGCUGUCUGUGCCCCGGGCAGCCCACAUCGGGCACCAUCCUCCACAUGCUACCAAAUGGGGCCCUUGUCUGGUGCCCCCAGGAACGUGGCCUUGGUCAUCUUGGUUGCCUGCCUUUUGUGCCAACCUGCCAGUCGACUUGCAGAAGAGAAGAGAAGAACAAACCUCCUCAAACUCAAGAAUACUCAUGCUCAUGAGUCUCCUGUUCAGCAGACCUGGGCAGACAGGACUCAUCUUGUUUGGGUUUGCUCAUGCAUCUGUGGUCAGCUGGCCAUUCAGCUGCGGUUGGCCAGUUAGGAUGGUGGCUGGCUGGCUGUAAGCUGGGGAGACUGGUGACUAGGCCCGGGUCUCUCAUUACCAGGUGUUAGCCCACACUUGUUCAUGGGGCAGUAGCGGAGUCCAAGAGGGCAAAGGUAAGUGCUCAGGGCCGCUCGAGGUCUGAACCUGGUGCAUCAGGGCUUCUGCCAUGAUCUCUGGGCCAAAGCUAGGGGGUCAGCCUGGAUUUAAGGGCCAGGGGAGGGAGAUGCCAGGGUAACUCCCUUCAGGGGAACCACAAGGCCACAUAGCAUGGGAGUGGAAACAGUACAGGAUGGUGCGUGGGGGUCAUCUGGUAACCUGUCCCCUGCUCUCAGAUGAGCUUCCUGAGAGGAAGCAGAUGGCUCACAGGUCUGUGGGUGACCAGGGCCAUGUGCUUCCGUUCUCUGGCUUUGUUUUGACCUUGCUCACCUUUGGGGUGAGGGUGGUGAGGUGGGGGGUGUGGAGCAGGAGAGAUGGAGUAGGCCUUUAUUACAGUUGCUUAUUCAGACCCAUGAGCUCUUCUCAUCUCCUCGGCAGUGCUGGCAAGGCAGGGCUGUCCCAGAGCCCCGGAGCCUGGGCAUUUUGGGAUUUGCUUAUGUUCCCGCAGAUAGAGCGACAGAGCUGGGGUGUGAAGUCAGAACUCUGAGUCACAGACCAGCUCUUUUCCACUAGAUGCCACUAGGAGAAAGAGGAAGUUUGCUGCCUUUGACAGAUCCAGGGGAAGCCCAUUUUCCUCCUAGAAUGUGGCAAAUGGUGGACUGACUCAGUGAUAACCACUGUUGAGGAGCAGGUGGGGUAGGGUUCCAGAAGGUGAACUGGGUACUUCUGAGAGUUCAUCUGAGAAGUGAGAGGAGGGAUCCCCUUCACCCCAUUACAGUCCUGUCUCUGCCAACACACCUGCAAAGAGUGCGAGGGGAUGGGUAGGCUGCCCGUGUCUAUCUCCCUGGCAACCGGAAGAGCAUCUUCCGUGGGACCCUCUGGGCAUUUUACUUCACCCUUCUAGUGUGGUUGACGGGGCAGGGAAAGAGCAGAAUUCCAAAGAGACCUGGCCCAGCUUCUGUCCCGCUUCCUCACUGUGCAUCUUUCUGAGCUUUGCUUCCCUGUCUGUACAAAGGAGUUAAUGAUACUUGACUCGCAAGGUUACUCUAAGAAUUAAGCCCAGGAAACAUUCUGGGGGUACAGAUCCCCCCCUUUUCUCUUUUACAGUGUCUAGCACAGGGCUGGGCACCAGAAGGUGCCCAGUCAUUAUUGUGUCAGUGGGGGGAUGGAUGAGUUUUAGAAAAUGUAAAGACAUGGGACAUUGAGAAAAAGAAAAUCUUCUGUGACUCUGGGCAAGGUCCACAUCCUGAAUUUUGAAAUGUGCUGAUAGUUGACAUCAGGGAUUCUGAUGGUGACCUGCUGCUGGGUUAAUUGACUGAAGGAGAGAGGUGGACAUGGUUGAUGGACCAUUAAUAGGUGUGUCUAAUACUCAUUUCUCAGCUGUUUGCUAUGCAGGGUGGCAAGGCAUCUCCCCCCCCCCUCUGGUGCAUUACCCCUGUGUCUUCAGUGUCUGCGUCCUGAGUAAUGUCGGGAGAAAGCAAAGAACAAGGGUUGUGGUCCAUACUUGGAGACGUGGAGAUUGGAGAGAAAGGAGAUGCUGUGGGAGACCAGUGUGAAGGUGUGAGAGAAAAGAAAUGUGGAAGAUGUUUGCCAGGAGAAACAUGCAUGCAUCCCCCAAGCCCUUUACACGAAGCCCUGGUACCCUGGCAGGUGGGGAGGAGAUGUGUUGGGUUCCUACUGAAUGGGAGAUUCAGGGCUAGCAGUAACAAGGGCCAGGGAGGAAAUCCCAAGUAUGUCCGCUUUUUCUUCCUCCUCCCUCCCACUCCCACCUUUUCCUUCUUCAUAGAGGGAAUCUGAGGGGACACAACAGUGCUUAUUCAGGAACUAGGGCUGCUGAUAGUUCAGAGGAAGGGGCAUUGCCUUUGAAGCACACAGACGCAUAGUCAGAUCCCAGCUCCCUCUCAGUGGCAUCCUUUUGAACCUGCUUACUGGUCUGUUAUCCGGGAUAGUGAUACCCUCCCCAUGUCUUUGGAUGGUGUUCAGCUGAAACUGUGGAACCAACCUGGACUGUUGAGGUCAAGAGUGAAAGUGUCAGUGGCUCAGAGGAGCGGUACUGUGACCAGCCUGGCAGAAAGGCGGUUCCUCACUCUGUGUCCGGAUGCCCAGCUCACAGAGGCAUGUGAGGAAGACCAGAUGCAGGGUGCACCCUAGGCUAGAGGCAGAUGGGGCUAGCCAAAAGUGACAGAGUGCACAGUGUCUUCGGCCAGCCCAGAUGGGAUGGAGGAUUGGACGCUUGUCCUAGCACUUGGCUGGAGAGAAUGAUGGAGUCCAUGGGGGAUAGAGGAGGAGAGGACACCUUAGUGCCCGUUGUGGCUCCUGAUGCUGGCUGGGCAUGUGCCAAUCCCAGCAGACACAGCUCUCAUGGCUUCUCAAGACUGCUGGCUGCUGGCCUGAUAGAAGUAGGAGGGUUGCUGGGCUUUCUACUCUUUGGAGGAGAAGGACUCCUUCAGUGGCCUAUUGGAUGACCAGCCACCACCAAGAUACAAUGGGGGCCUCUGUCCCCAGGCCCCUGGCAGGGGGAGAAGGAGAUACAUCCUGGGCCCAAAGAGCUGCCAAGCUUAACUUAACACUCAGAAAGAGCUAUGAGCAAGAGAAUUGGGUGCCCAGGAGUUCCUGUUGUGGCUCAGUGGAUUAAGAACCCAGCUAGUAUUCAUGAGGAUGUGGGUUCAAUCCCUGACCUUGCUCAGUGGGUUAAGGAUCCAGCAUUGCCACAAGCUGGCACAUAGGUCGCAGACAUGGUUUGGAUCAUGCGUUGCUGUCGCUGUAGUGUAGGCUGGCAGCUGUAGCUCCGAUUUGACUCCUAGCCUGGGAACUUUCAUAUACUGCAGGUGCAGCCCUGGAAAAACAAAAAACAAAAAACAAACCAAAAAAAAAAAA
rnacentral:lncRNA from 1 species